rnacentral:sRNA from 1 species
CUAAGUAUGUUUACUGUCUUUAAAUAAAACACGUGAUAUUUUCCAAUCGGCUGGUAUAAAAACUGUUUCACUUUCUUUUUUUAUAAAAUCGAUUUAUAAAAUGAAGACAGUGUUUGCAAUUUUGUUUUUAGCAUUCAUUGCGUUGACAUACGCAAGAAGUUAUGAGGAUGUGAAAGAAGAAAUUAAGAAUGAAGUUGUAAAAGAAAUACUUGAAGAUCUUGAAGAAGAAAGUGACGAAUUAGAUGAUAAAAGUAAAGAAAUCAAUGAUGCAAAGCCAUAUAGAUGGUUACGAAAUAAAUGGUGGAGGAGAAUUCGUCCUGACAUUAGGAUGGCUGGUAAAAAGUAAUAGAAACAACUAAGAUAAAACUUUAUGUCGUAUCAGCUUAUAUAAAAUUGUAUCAAACUAUUUUGGCAUAUUGUUAUCGGUAUUUAAUAGUAAUAUUAAAUACUUUGAUUUUUUAUAUUUAAACUACUUUUAAACGUUUUUGUAUUAUCAUAAACAACUCUAUGAUUAAAAAGAAAGAUUAUAAUAGCUUUAA